AGCGCAAGGAGAGUUAAGAGACACAGAGACGGCGAUGGAGGAGGACGAAGGCAAAGGUCGUGAUCGGAGGUGCUUGGGUCACAUGCAAACCGAUUAACUUUGCAAGGUUUAUAUAUCUGCUCAAGCCCACCAAGAAGCAAAAAGAAAGGAGAACGGUAAGGUUUGAUUUGGAGGGAAGCGGACCAGUGAAGGCUAGUAGCUCGAAGGAUAAGGAGGUUGUUUGAGAAGAAGGUGAGCUGGUUGAAGAACAGAGAUAGCUGUUAUAUUUUGUAAAUAUGUAGCAAAAUAUCUUAAUAAGUUUAUACUUAUUUUAUUAUAUAUGUUAUAUGGGCAAGUAACUUUACUUGCUCUAUGGAAAUAUUAUUUUGUAUUCUCUAUAAGAAGGUGAGCACUGCCGGGUGCACGUAUAUACUGUCAACCAAGAGCGUUGCUCUAUUUUUAAUGUAAUAUUAUAAGAUUGUAUAGUAUGAAAUUAUUUUUAGGUGAUAAUAGAUUAAAUUGAAAGCAGGGUUGAUUGUAGAUCACUCUUUAAUUAUUCUAAAGGUUUGAAAUUUUUGAUUGAUGA